rnacentral:lncRNA from 1 species
GACAAAGCGCUGCUCGCCAUCAUCCGAAUCCCAGUGCGACCCCUGCCCAGAUGGAUACUAUAACUCAAAGCAUAACUACUAUCGAUGCAAAAGCUGCACCAUCUGUUACCCAGAUAGGGGAAGCAUGGAGGUGAAGAAGUGUGAUAAGAUCUCAGAUACAGUUUGCAUGUGCAUGAAGGGUUACACCCCAUACGACAGCAGAUCGUCAGAGGAAUAUCCAUCAGGAACAGAAUGCUUCCCUUGUCCUGAUGGGCAUUUUUCCGAUGGAAACAACGACAGAUGUCGGCCCUGGAUCAAGUAUGUAUCCUUCACCCAAACA